rnacentral:rRNA from 1 species
CCAGACUCCUACGGGAGGCAGCAGUGGGGGAUAUUGCACAAUGGGGGGAACCCUGAUGCAGCGACGCCGCGUGGGUGAAGGAGUGCUUCGGCAUGUAAAGCCCUAUCGGCAGGGAAGAAGCAAGACGGUACCUGGCUAAGAAGCCCCGGCUAACUACGUGCCAGCAGCCGCGGUAAUACGUAGGGGGCGAGCGUUAUCCGGAGUCACUGGGUGUAAAGGGGGCGUGGACGGCCAAGCAAGCCAGGGGUGGAAGCCCGGGGCCCAACCCCGGGACUGCCCUUGGAACUGCGUGGCUGGAGUGCGGGAGGGGCAGGCGGAAUUCCUGGUGUAGCGGUGAAGUGCGUA